rnacentral:rRNA from 1 species
AUUGAACGCUGGCGGCAGGCCUAACACAUGCAAGUCGAGCGGAUGAAGGUAGCUUGCUACCUGAUUCAGCGGCGGACGGGUGAGUAAUGCCUAGGAAUCUGCCUGGUAGUGGGGGACAACGUUUCGAAAGGAACGCUAAUACCGCAUACGUCCUACGGGAGAAAGUGGGGGAUCUUCGGACCUCACGCUAUAAGAUGAGCCUAGGUACGAUUAGCUAGUUGGUGAGGUAAAGGCUCACCAAGGCGACGAUCGUUAACUGGUCUGAGAGGAUGAUCAGUCACACUGGAACUGAGAAACGGUCCAGACUCCUACGGGGGGCAGCAGUGGGGAAUAUUGGACAAUGGGCGAAAGCCUGAUCCAGCCAUGCCGCGUGUGUGAAGAAGGUCUUCGGAUUGUAAAGCGCUUUAAGUUGGGAGGAAGGGCAGUAAGUUAAUACCUUGCUGUUUUGACGUUACCGACAGAAUAAGCACCGGCUAACUUCGUGCCAGCAGCCGCAGUAA